rnacentral:lncRNA from 1 species
UUUGGAUGUGAAUCGGUACCAACACUCACCCUAUGCAUAUGUUUGUGUGCAUUAGGUCCAAAAGAAGUCAAAGAAUGAAAAAGGAAAGAAUUGGAGCAUAAUUGGACGUCAAAGCUGCCGAAACGAGCUAAGUACAAGCAUGAGGAAGCUGAACAUGGCCGUGUUGGUCUCAACACUGGCCGUGUUCUUAGCACGGUCACAAACACAGGCCGUGUUACCA